UACGAAGGGGGCUAGCGUUGCUCGGAAUCACUGGGCGUAAAGGGCGCGUAGGCGGCCUAGCAAGUCAGGGGUGAAAGCCUGUGGCUCAACCACAGAAUGGCCUUUGAUACUGCUGGGCUCGAGACCGGAAGAGGUUGGUGGAACUGCGAGUGUAGAGGUGAAAUUCGUAGAUAUUCGCAAGAACACCGGUGGCGAAGGCGGCCAACUGGUCCGGUUCUGACGCUGAGGCGCGAAAGCGUGGGGAGCAAACAGG
rnacentral:rRNA from 1 species